GUUGCUUUCUUUUCAAAACUGGAGAUGGAUUUGAAAGGCAGUGCAAAGUAAAGACUUUACAAAUAGUGCCAAUUACAGCAAAGGCACUACGGAUAGAAAGGUUGACUACUUUCUUUUGGAUCAAGAAUAUCAGGUUUUUGAAAUGUCCUUUUUUCUCUAUCAUUUUUUCAUUUUUAGAUGAAUUCCAGUUUCUUGUUUGUACUACUUUCUAGAUGUUGAUUUUCUUGUAUAUGCACACACAUUCACUUAUUGCCAUUAAUUCUAAGAGUUGUCAAUAGCUUGAAAUGCCCUUAAUUUUCUUAUUUAUCAUUCUUUUUCACCUUUGAAUGAACAUUAGUUUCUGUAGCAAAAUGUUUUAUUAUCUUCUUUUUUAGAUGUUAGUUUUCUUGUAUAUGCACAUGCAUUGAUUAAUUGCCAUCAUGUUUGCUUCAGCUAUAGAUUCUAUAACUAUGUUAAGAUGAACUUUUUAAUUUUAAGUAAGACUGGAUUGUUCAGUUCAAUUGUACUUAUACUUUCAAAGCAUUGAUCUUGCUGUAUAAAGAGUUAAUUUAUGCUUAUUUAAGAGGAGAUUUACCUUUCCUUUUUUUUUUUAGUACAGUUAGAGUAUCUUUGGAUGUGUUGUUACUAUAUUUGAUCAUUGAAUAUGUCUUUUUAUUACUUCUUAAUAGAAGGGACAUCGAUCGUAAUUCGUAAGUAUUUUACUGGUAGAGAUUCUAAGAAUUGUUAAGAGCAUCAUCCUUCUUUUCCCCUUUUGCUGUUGAUUUAUCUUUUGUGCCUUAGACAUAAAACUGCUAGCUUUAAGUCUAGCAACCGAAUGCAUGUAAAACAUCCAUUUUCAUCCUUUGUUUUGGAGUUAUAUAUUGUAUUUCAGUUUUAUUUUGUUCUGAAAAAGCAAAAGAGAAUGAAUUGAUUAUAUUUGGACCAUUUCUCGAUUUGUGCAUGUCAUUAUUGCUCGCUAAUCUUCUCCUUUCUUAUUUUAUCGAAUGUCCCCAAAGGAAUGAAUCGACUAUAUUUUUUUUUUUUGGCAAUCCGCUAGGCAAGCGCCUAGGGCUAGUUUUCUUUUAUUAAUAAAUGAAAAUAAAAGUACAGCAAUUAGGAACAGUACAAAUAAGGGGGACAAUAGCACCGGUAUUGUUACCUAUAUGCCUUGACUAUAUAAUCACUCCUCUGCGCCUCACAUUGCGUUAAGAUGACAGCCUCAUGUAGAGGUGUAGCUGCCGGCAAUGUCUCACGAGGGCAUAUAAUCUCAUAGUCGUGUGGAUAUUUUUCCAAAGGCAUAGAACCAAGGUAACUCAAACCGGGCUAAACCUUACCUUACUAAUCCUAUUGAGGCUUUAAAUAGCCUCACCUACUAACAUGCAUGUAAAAAAUAAGAACUGGAAAGUACCAAAUAUUCAAUGAUCAUCACAGAGUUUAUAACAUAAUCUGUGAUGAUAUUACAAAUGAGAAUACUAAUAUAAUGGUAGAAUAAAAUGAUGAAGGAAUUAAAAUGUUGUCCCUUCUUGUCCGAACUUGUAAUUUCUUCAAUUUGGAGCUCUUUUUCAUCACAAUCCCAAUUGUUCAAGAUGUAUUCAAAAUUCAUGAUUUCUUGUUUGAACGAUUGGACUUUGUAGAUGUAGUUGGGGCGGCCUUCUUUUGUUUGGCAACUCUCAUUGGAGGUCGCCUAACAUUUAAAAAAUCACUAACCUUGUCGUCCCAACUAAAUUUCCUUGUAUGAGUCCUCUUACCUUUGCCGCUAUGCAUUGGUGAUAGAUCCCCUUUUCUUGCUGCCUCUACUCUACAGUGUUGUAACAUUGCUUCUUCCUCUCCGUCUUCAUACAAGUCUCUCUCCAGGUGCACAGGUUGUUGAACAUUUUGGUCGAUAACAAUUGUUUCCAAUGCAGAUUGACCUUGUGUAUUUGUCACCAUUGCCUUGCUUUGAUGUUGUUCUAUUUUUUGCAAUUUGUUCUUGCUCAUACUCAACAUUCCAGUGCUAGAAGCAGUAGGAUUUACAGGAUUUAAGGGAUUAGAACUCACCAUUGCAUCCAAGAGUCUUCUUUCCUCUGAAAUAUCUGGGAUGGUUGUAACAAUUUGGUUCUGUCCAGAAUUUGUUGUUGUGACUUCUCGAUCACGUAGAUGAGUAGUAGCAGUAUUUGUAACAUUUGAAGUGUUGGGAAUAACUUGUUGCUGUUGCACAAUAGUUGUAGGUGUUCCAGCUACUGCAUUUUGAAUAGCUGGAGAUGAAGGACUUUUGGGAAUGAAAGCAGGAGCAUUGGAGUUCAAAUUGCUCAUUGGACUGGCUGCUGGCAUUCUUUCAGAUUUUACCAUCGCUAAGGAAGCAAUCUCCUCACUUGCACUAUCAUGAUUAGCCUCACGCUCAGCUUCUUCUAAUGAAUAACUAGCAAAACCAUCUCCCCAAUCCUCUUCAUCAUCAUCAUCUUCCCGUUGAUCUAGCCAAAAUUUGGACUUGAUAGCCAUCAACCUCAAAUUUCCUUGUGGAACUUCAUUGUUAUUCCCGUUGAUAACAUAAGUAGCCCAGUUUCACCUUCAACCCCUCUACAAGAUUCCAUUGACUGCGAAGGAACCUCAAAAAAAGAUUUGUUUAAGGUGACCAAAGGUUGUUUGACCAUGAGAUUGUUUAUCAUCAUUUCUUUUUGAACAUCUUUAAUGAUUUGUUCAACCUGUGGAUUAGAGAAGUGCAAUGUAUGUGCAUUGGAGCUGUGUACCUCUGCAUUUUGCGCAUCAACAGGAACACUGUCCUUCGAAGUAAUGAGUCGUUCACCUGUGUUCUUGGACUUUUGUUGUUGU
rnacentral:lncRNA from 1 species